rnacentral:hammerhead_ribozyme from 1 species
AUUCAGCUGACGAGUUUCAAAUAGGAUGAAAACGUGCUUCCUGGAU